rnacentral:lncRNA from 1 species
CUUAGGUAUGCACUUCGAGUAUAUUUGCUCUUUCCUCCCCAAAAGAGGGGGAUUGAAUGCACCCCUAGAACACAUACUCCGUUUCAAGACAAACAAGACUAACUGGAGCAAACCACCUGCAAGCGCAGCUCCGGGUCUUUCCGGCCUCCUGGGAAGACAUUCCAGUUCAGUACCCGGAGACAACUGGCUUCAUUCUGCAUUCGCUGAGCAUCUCUGAUCAUAUGGUGAAUUGGUGAAGGCAACAGAAAGAACAGGAACCUGUGGCCCACCAGCCAGAGCAACCUCUGUGAGCUUCAGCUUCUGCAUCUUAAAGGAAACAAACUAAAAAUGUGGCUUUAAAAUCAGAGCAACUCUUGCAUUUUAUUGUAUUGUUUUGUUUUUGGUGUUUUGGUGUUUUGUUUUGGGGUUGUUGGGACUUUGGUGCAAGAUACUAGGUUGAAAUUAAAAGAGGAGGAUACAUGACGAAUCUAUGGCUGCAGAGACCAUGUCUGAGCCAUGGGAAGGCUAGUGGGGCGUCCUGCCCAGCUCCAGUAACUGGAGGAUGUUCUCAGUGAUGGCCCUGCUCCUAGAAAGGACAAAUGAAGGGAAGAAGACACCUGGAAAUGAAGAUUGGCUCCAGAUACUGGGUUGCCAUAGGUGUUAGAGCUAUUGUUUCAUUAGAGUUUCAGAGGCAUUAAUGAUUUUUGAGGGCAGUUUUUAUUCAACUGAAUCUAUGAAUAAUAAAGAUUGUGGGGCAUAGGUGGCCCACACCUCCAAUCCCAGCAUUCAGGAGGCAGAGGCAGGCCAACCUCAGCAAGUUUGAGGCCAACUUGAUCUACAGAGUAAGUUCUAGGGCAGCUGAGGCUACAAAGAGAAACCUUGUCUCAAAAAACCAAAACCAACAACAACAAAAAUCAACCAACCAACCAACCAACCAAAAAAAAAAAAAAAAAAAAAAGUGAAGAUACAGGAAUUAUCUCCUCAAAUAAGACACCCAGGAAGGGCUACUCAGAGCAGGUGUUCAAGCUCCAAGCAUGCUCAGGGACCCAGGUUGCUCCCAGAUUUUGGCUUUUGUUCCAAAGCACCAAGUUCAUCUUCACAGUACCUCAGAGUCCACGGUGGCUACCAGAUUUCAUCCACUGCAAAUACCUGCAUUACAGGCUCAGCAGAGGAGGAAGAAGGAUCAGCAAGAAGGAUGUGCAACCCAGCUGGGCCAGUCUACCCAGCAGUCCCUCAUGAGUUACAUCAUUGGCCAGAACUCAGCACGAUGCAGACUCUGUUCUGGGCAGUGCCAUGGGCAGUUGAAAGAGUUCGCUUAAUAAGAGAACAUGGAUGGAUAUUGAGAGGUAGCGAGGGUCUCUGUGUCAGGGUGGUCGUUAAAAUUCUGGACUGGAUUCAUUUCUUUGCUGGUAAUGAAAUCCUGGGGGCUAGAUAGAGGAAAUGAGGACCUGGACUGCGGGGAUCAUGGGCAGAUGGGAAGAGCUUUACGAGGUUCUGCAGUUGAGCUGAGAAACUGGGAAUAGUGCCAAAGGGAAAAAGGUGAUGGCAUUAGUUCACAUUAUGUAGUCCCAGCAUGUGGGAGGGAAGCAGAGGCAGGCAGAUCUCUGUAACGGAAGCCAGACUCAUCUACAUACAGAGGGAGUUCCUGAACAGCCAAUGAUACACAGAGAAACCUUCUCUUAAACAAACAAACAAGCAAACACCCCUCUCCAAGGAAAGAAGGUCAUGGAUUAAGAGACCUGCUCACUGUGUCUGGUGGGCUGCACUGGUGCUCACUGUGUCCAGUGGGCUGCAUGGGGCUGGUGUGCUGGGCUGUUGGUGUGACAUUUCCCAGCAAAUACUGAACCUACUGUCUAUAAGUAUCCUGAUGUCUGUAGAUGUCUUAAUGUGUCACGUGUAUUUGGGGGGUUUCAUAAAUUGCUACUUGGGGUGCUCUUAAUUGUACUGGAAAAAGGGUUAGGGCUGCCUCUUUCUGCUGCAAUGCUCUUGGGCUUAAGGGUUCUGAGAGUCAUGGCCAAGUGAUGUUCUUGAAAAUGUACCUCCCCUUUUCCCUUUCCUUCCCCUUCCCUCCCUUUUUCUUUGCCUUCUGUAAUUCAGUUCCUGCCUGUCUAUCAGCCUGUGUGGUGGUAGGAAGCAUGAGCACAAUGUCCCAGCUACAAACUCAGAAUAACACAAAUUUUAAGAUGCUUUCCUGCAUAUUGUAUAUUUUAAUAAACUUUGAGUAUUUAACAAUAUAAGCCAAAACAAUCCACCAGCACCCCUCGACUAAAUCUGCCUUUGUCUUACAGCGGG